AACGCUGGCGGCAGGCCUAACACAUGCAAGUCGAGCGCCGUAGCAAUACGGAGCGGCAGACGGGAGAGUAACACGUGGGAACGUGCCCUUUGGUUCGGAACAACCCAGGGAAACUUGGGCUAAUACCGGAUAAGCCCUUACGGGGAAAGAUUUAUCGCCGAAGGAUCGGCCCGCGUCUGAUUAGCUAGUUGGUGGGGUAAUGGCCCACCAAGGCGACGAUCAGUAGCUGGUCUGAGAGGAUGAUCAGCCUCACUGGGACUGAGACACGGCCCAGACUCCUACGGGAGGCAGCAGUGGGGAAUAUUGGACAAUGGGCGCAAGCCUGAUCCAGCCAUGCCGCGUGGGUGAUGAAGGCCCUAGGGUUGCAAAGCCCUUUCGGCGGGGAAGAUAAUGACGGUACCCGCAGAAGAAGCCCCGGCUAACUUCGUGCCAGCAGCCGCGGUAAUACGAAGGGGGCUAGCGUUGCUCGGAAUCACUGGGCGUAAAGCGCACGUANGCGGAUUGCUAAGUCAGGGGUGAAAUC
rnacentral:rRNA from 1 species